rnacentral:rRNA from 1 species
UACGAAGGGGGCUAGCGUUGCUCGGAAUUACUGGGCGUAAAGCGCACGUAGGCGGCUUCUUAAGUCGGUGGUGAAAUCCUGGAGCUCAACUCCAGAACUGCCUUCGAUACUGGGAAGCUCGAGUCCGGAAGAGGUGAGUGGAACUGCGAGUGUAGAGGUGAAAUUCGUAGAUAUUCGCAAGAACACCCGUGGCGAAAGCGGCUCUCUGGAACGGUACUGACGCUGAGACGCGAAAGCGUGGGGAGCGAACAGG